GUCCUUUAGNUNAUAUAAUUUAAGGUCUAACCUGCCCAUUGAUNAANUUAAAAGGCCGCAGUAAUUUGACUGUGCAAAGGUAGCAUAAUCAUUAGUUUUUUAAUUAAAAGCUUGUAUGAAUGGUUGGACGAAAUAAAAUCUGUCUCUUUAUAAAAAAUAGAAUUUAAUUUUUAAGUUAAAAAGCUUAAAUAAAUAUAAAAGACGAGAAGACCCUAUAGAUCUUUAUAUAAUUUUUUUUAAUAUUAAUAAAGAAGAUUUAAUUUAUUAAAUAAUUUUAUAUUUUAUUGGGGUAAUAAAAAGAUUAAUUUAAUUCUUUUUUAUUAAACAAUAAUUAUUGGUUAUAUGAUCCAUUAUUAAUGAUUAUAAGAUUAAGUUACCUUAGGGAUAACAGCGUAAUUUUUUUAGAGAGUUCUUAUCAAUAAAAAAGUUUGCGACCUCGAUGUUGGAUUAAAAGUAAUUCUAGGUGCAGAAGUUUAGAGUUUUGGUCUGUUCGACCAUUAAAUUUUU
rnacentral:rRNA from 1 species